UGAACGCUGGCGGCGUGCCUAAUACAUGCACGUCGAGCGAACAGACGAGGAGCUUGCUCCUCUGACGUUAGCGGCGGACGGGUGAGUAACACGUGGAUAACCUACCUAUAAGACUGGGAUAACUUCGGGAAACCGGAGCUAAUACCGGAUAAUAUAUUGAACCGCAUGGUUCAAUAGUGAAAGACGGUUUUGCUGUCACUUAUAGAUGGAUCCGCGCCGCAUUAGCUAGUUGGUAAGGUAACGGCUUACCAAGGCAACGAUGCGUAGCCGACCUGAGAGGGUGAUCGGCCACACUGGAACUGAGACACGGUCCAGACUCCUACGGGAGGCAGCAGUAGGGAAUCUUCCGCAAAGGGCGAAAGCUUGACGGAGCAACGCCGCGUGAGUGAUGAAGGUCUUCGGAUCGUAAAACUCUGUUAUUAGGGAAGAACAAAUGUGUAAGUAACUAUGCACGUCUUGACGGUACCUAAUCAGAAAGCCACGGCUAACUACGUG
rnacentral:rRNA from 1 species